rnacentral:lncRNA from 1 species
GCCCCAUAAAUUGAAACAUAAGAAGCAAUAUAUAUUAUUUAAAAAUAACGUAAAAAUAUCAUAAAUGACAAUAAUUUACAACUUAAAAUGUUAUCGACAUAUAAAAAAUUUGAUUGAUUCACCAUAUACUAUCACAAUCACAUAAAUUAGGAUAGGAGUAACAAAUAUUAUUCGAAAAUAACAUAAAUUACUAUAAAUCACAAUAACUAACAACUCAAAAUGUGUAA